rnacentral:rRNA from 1 species
AGUUUGAUCAUGGCUCAGAGUGAACGCUGGCGGCAGGCCUAAUACAUGCAAGUCGAACGGCAGCACAGCAGAGCUUGCUCUGUGGGUGGCGAGUGGCGGACGGGUGAGGAAUACGUGGGAAUCUGCCCAGUCGUGGGGGAUAACGUAGGGAAACUUACGCUAAUACCGCAUGCGCCCUUCGGGGGAAAGCCGGGGACCUUCGGGCCUGGCGCGAUUGGAUGAGCCCACGUCGGAUUAGCUAGUUGGCGGGUAAAGGCCCACCAAGGCGACGAUCCGUAGCUGGUCUGAGAGGAUGAUCAGCCACACUGGAACUGAGACACGGUCCAGACUCCUACGGGAGGCAGCAGUAGGGAAUAUUGGACAAUGGGCGCAAGCCUGAUCCAGCCAUGCCGCGUGAGUGAAGAAGGCCCUCGGGUUGUAAAGCUCUUUUGUCCGGAAAGAAAAGCGCCGGGUUAAUACCCUGGUGUCCUGACGGUACCGGAAGAAUAAGCACCGGCUAACUUCGUG